rnacentral:rRNA from 1 species
UACGGAGGGUGCAAGCGUUGUCCGGAAUCACUGGGCGUAAAGGGUGCGUAGGCGGUCGGGUAAGUCUGAUGUGAAAUCUCACAGCUUAACUGUGAAACUGCAUUGGAUACUAUCCGGCUCGAGGAAUGGAGGGGAGACUGGAAUACUUGGUGUAGCAGUGAAAUGCGUAGAUAUCAAGUGGAACACCAGUGGCGAAGGCGAGUCUCUGGACAUUUCCUGACGCUGAGGCACGAAAGCCAGGGGAGCAAACGGG